UGCCAGGUGCGAGGUGGGCGAUAAGUCAGUGGAGGUCGUUAGUGGAAAAAAAAACAAGUGUCUGGCUCGGCACCUGUGGCUCAAGCGGCUAAGGCGCCAGCCACAUACACCUGAGCUGGCGGGUUCAAAUCCAGCCCGGGCCCGCCAAACAACAAUGACAGCUGCAACCAAAACAUAGCCGGGCGUUGUGGCAGGCGCCUGUACUCCCAGCUACUUCGGAGGCAGAGGCAGGAGAAUCGCUUGAGCCCAGGAGUUUGAGGUUGCUAUGAUGCCACAGCACUCUACCCAGGGUGACAGCUUGAGGCUCUUUUUUUUUUGUUUGUUUCCAAAAAAAAAAAAAAAAAAACCCAAGUGUCCAAUGUGUGCCACGCACUGUUUUAGGUCCUUGGGAAACUACAGAGAACAAGACCCUUGUCUCGUGGAGUGAACGUCUGGUUGGUGUCGGAAAGCGGAGUACCGGUGUGAUCAGCAUUGGAAAAGAUGCCUGCCCCAGCUACCACAUAUGAAAGAAUAGUUUACAAAAAUCCUUCUGAGCACCACUACAUGAAAGUUUGCCUAGAAUUUCAAGAUCAUGGAGUUGGACUGAAUGCUGCACAGUUCAAACAUCUGCUAAUUUCAGCCCUGAAAGACCUGUUUGGAGAGGUUGAUGCUGCCUUACCCUUGGACAUCCUAACCUAUGAAGAAAAGACUUUGUCAGCCAUCUUGAGAAUAUGUAGCAGUGGUCUUGUCAAAUUGUGGAGCUCUUUGACCCUAUUGGGAUCCUACAAAGGCAAAAAAUGUGCUUUCAGAGUGAUUCAGGUUUCUCCAUUUCUCCUUGCAUUAUCUGGUAAUAGUAGGGAACUAGUAUUGGACUGAAUAGCCUGCAAUUUCAGAAACAUUUCUUCACUCCAAAAAACAUUUUUUGGUCCCUGCAUGAUGUUUGAAGACUGAAGCAGGAGACAGAGUCUCACUUUACCGCCCUCGAUAGAGUGCCAUGAUGUCACAGGAUUCACAGCAACCUCCAGCUCUUGGGCUUAGGCGAUUCUCCUGUUCCAACUUUGUGAAGUUAAUGUCUUGUUUUAUAAACAAGCAAGGAAACAGACAUGCUGUGUGACUUGUUAACAUGCAGUGCACCUGGGAUUAAAACUUGGGGCUACCUGGCUUUUUCCAUCAUCUUGUGGGUCUUGUUUCUUAUAGGAGUCAAAGGAAAAUUUCCCCUCUGUCCUCUGAAUACUAGCUAAAAACUGACAGAAAGCAAAUUAACUGGAGAAAAAGUGUACAAGUUUAUUAAUGAGAACCACAGUUACUACCCCAAACACCUUAAUGGGGUUGAGAAUCUUUUAUACCAUCUUGAGACUUCACAAAGAAUAAGGGCUUGAAUUGAGGUUAUGAAAGUGAUGAAGAUGAGGCCUCCCUGGUGAACGUGGUCUUGUUACAUAAAUGAAACCUCACUGCUAGCAGCCCCCAAAGAGAAUAUAUGGUAAAUAUUUGUCAGACCUUUAAAGAUGUCAGACUCAUAGUUAACCUUCCCUAGAUCUGGAAUGCAGAUUCUCUACAGAUGCAAAUCUCCCCACAAAAAAAAACAGUUUUGCAGGGCUACUUUUGUUUUCUGACUCUGAACCCCUUUAUUGAAAUAUGUCAAGGAGGGCACCACCUGUGGCUCAUUGGGUAGGGCACGACCCCAUAUGCCAAGGGUGGCAGGUUCGAACCCAGCCCCAGCCAAACUGCAACAAAAAAUAGCCAAGCAUUUUGGCGGGCCCCGGUAGUCCAGCUACUCUGGAGGCUGAGGCAAGAGAAUCGCCUAAGUCCCAGAGUUUGAGGUUGCUGUGAGCUUGUGACGUCAUAGCACUCUACCAAGGGUGAUUAAGUGAGACUCUUGUUUCUACGAGUGCCGCCCUUUCAAUAUAUGUCAAGGAAAGAUACUUAGGGGUGAAAUAUUUUUAUUUUCUUCAUUCCAAUUAGUGGAACAAUGUCAGUUUCUAUAAUAGCAUCUUUUUAUACGGCAUUAACACAAUUGGAAUCAUUCUAUAGAGUUUUUUUAUGAUCAGAAAGUUCAUCUCGGGCGGCCCCUGUGGCUCAGUCGGUAGGGCGCUGGCCCCAUAUACCGAGGGUGGUGGGUUCAAACCCGGCCCCAGCCAAACGGCAACAACAACAACAAAAAAAUAGCUGGGCGUUGUGGCGGGCGCCUGUAGUCCCAGCUACUCGGGAGGCUGAGGCAAGAGAAUUGCUUAAGCCCAGGAGUUGGAGGUUGCUGUGAGCUGUGUGAGGCCACAGCACUCUACCGAGGGCCAUAAAGUGAGACUGUGUCUCUUAAAAAAAAAAAAAAAAAGAAAGUUCAUCUUCUCUGCUAGAGUUGUAGGAUUUUCCUGUAUACAAUUAGUUGAUGGCGUCCACUCAUGCACAUCAUCUCCACUUUUUCUAGGAGAAAAGUGAUUAUGUGUCUUCAGAACAGAAGUGCUAAAAGGGUUAGUCUAAAGAUAAAAAGUUAUGUGUGGGCCAGGUACAGUGGCUCACGCCUGUAAUUCCAGCACUCUGGGAGGCUGAGGUAGGUGGAUUGCUUAAGGUCAGGAAUUUAAGACCUGAGCAAUAGCAAGACCCGGUCCCUACUAAAAAUGGAGAAAUUAGCCAGGUGUUGUGGCAGGCAGCUGUAUCCAACUACUCAGGAGGCAGAGGCAAGAGGAUUGCUCAAACACCUGCCUAAUUUAUUUUUUGUAGAGAUAGAGUCUCAGGAGUUUGAGACUGCUGUAAGUUAUGUUUGUUUUGUUUUUUUUUUUUGAGACAGAGCCUCAAGCUGUCGCCCUAGGUAGAGUGCUAUGGCAUCACAGCUCACUGCAACCUCCAACUCCUGGGCUCAAGCGAGUCUCUGCCUCCGCCUCCCAAGUAGCUGGGAUUACAUGUGCUCACCACAACGGCCGGCUUUUUUUUUUUUUUUGGUUGCAGCCAUCGUUGUUUGGAUGGCCUAGGCUGGAUUCGAACCCGCCAGCUCAGGUGUAUGUGGCUGGUGCCUUAGUGGCUUGAGCCACAGGUGCUGAGCCUGCUGUAAGUUAUGAUGCCAUUACAUUCUACGCAGGGUGACAGUGUGAGACUGUCUCAAAAAAGAAAAAGUUAUGUGUGGGCCAACUAUGGUGUUGGGGAAGCAUAUCAGAUCUGGCUGAUUUAUACUGUGUAACUUUCAAAAGUAGCUUCUCAGUGUGAGCAUUUUCACAUUUCUUGUACUCCGUAAGAAUCAUGGUGUUUAAUUCCUGUAAAUCAAUAAGCUAAGCAGUUGGAAUAAAAAAGUAGGUAAAAAGUUACGAAUACUUCUCUUUGACAACUUGUUUUCUCCCAAAGCCAAGAUUUCCACACUGCUCCAGAGUGACUUCAAAUGAAGGCUUGGGUAACCCUAAAAUUAGAAAAUCUCUCCCAAAUAAUUGAGAGGUGGUCUUGACUGCUCCAGGUCAUGUGUGGGAGUACAAAAGUAAUGACAUUUCAGGCCAAACUG